GGGGCCCUAAGUUCCAGAGACUGAGGGGCUGGGGUGGGAAGGGAAGGUCUGGCAGGUGGAUGGAGGGUGGUCGGGCAUGAAGGGUGCCUGCCAAGGGCUGCAGGGAGAGGAAGCAGGGAAAAAGAAGGAGUGGCUAGAACCUGGGGAGAGCUUCAGGUUCCAAAGAGGCUGGGGAAGCUCCACAUGACCCUCAGCAAACUCCGGCCAGCAGGGAGGGGUGGGAGGUGGAGCAUGCAGUCCACAGGGCUCAAGAAGGGGGUUCAGUCCAGAGAAGCAGCUCUGGAUCCAACAGAGAGAACAGGGGGCCUCAGAGAGAGCCGGGAGAAAGAAGCUUCCAGCCCAGGAGGCAGAAGAAGCCCCACUCAGUGUGCAGGGUUGGGAGAAGAGCUUCUAGCCCAGGAGGCACCAUUCAAAGGAAAGCCAGCCUUAGCCCCGCUCCUGGAGCAUGCACGGACCCUGAGGAAUCGAAGCCUGUCCCGACCUCCAGAGGACACUUGCCUGGAGCCUGACUCUCCAGUGAAUCCCUUGAAUCAGAAGCAAACACAAAGGCUUCAAAGACCGGCGGUGACCGGAGGUGACCAGUCUGAGCCCAGCCCGCCCGCCGCAGUAGGGCUCAGAAACACAGAAAAAUACGUCAUAUCCAAAACACAGUACACCGGAGAGGACGUAAAGCAAGUACACGGAUGGAGCUGCGCCCCUGCCCGCUGUCACAGGUGUCCAGGGCAGCGGCAGAAGCCAGGGUGCCCAGUCUCGGGGCAGGAGCCUCAUGGAUGUGGACAGGCCGAGGCAUCCACAGCUGGCUGAGGCGAGGGAGCGGCGCCGUCCCUGCGUUUGCAGGAGACACACGGCCAGGCUGAGGAGCAGGAAUAAGAGGCCCAGGUGGGCCUGACGGGGCAGGGGUGGCUCUCCAGGAGCUGGUGCACUGUGGGACUGGAGGGGGCACUGAACUUUCUCUGCUGACCUGAAGCUACGGGCAGGGACACAUGUCCGGGCAGGGUCAUGUGAGGACAUUGGGGCUGCUUGUCACAGGGGCCACUGCUUGGCCUCUGGGACCUGUUCCUGGCGCUGCCGCGUGGCCGGCCCUCCUGCCCAGCGGGGGCUUGUCACAGGGGCCACUGCUUGGCCUCUGGGACCUGUUCCUGGGUGUGUGGCCGGUCCUCCUGCCCGGCGGGGGCUUGUCACAGGGGCCACUGCUUGCCUGACCUGUUCCUGGCGCUGUGGCCGCCUCCCACACUCAUGGGCUGCGGUGGCUCCUGCUGGUGAUGGGGCUGCUUCCCCGGCUGGCUACUCUGCAUCAGGGGCCUGAUUUCUAUUUUUAAAAUUGACUAGUCCCUUGUCUGUCUGCGUAUUCGGUCUCCCAUCUAGGAGCCGGGGGUGUGCCCUGUCUCAGGUCUGGCUGCAGAGGAGUCACAGGCCCCGGAGCCCGGUCUGGGAAGAGGGUGCUGGCAGACACUUCAGUCUCUUCUUUCCUCAUCGCGUAACCCAGCUCUGCCCAGAGCCCCCGCCCUGGGCUGACAGAGGCUCAUCCCAGCCAGGAGCCAGUCAGGCCCCUCCUGCCACACCCACAUCUACGGCAGCUACGCACCGACCGAACGGCUGCCUCACCCAUUAUCUCCACACUCUUGGGAUUUGGGGCACGAAGAACCAUGCGCAGCCCAUCAGGAGCCUGCGUUAUUUUAAGGUGAACUCUUGGGAAACAGCUGGGGAACUGCCUCUUCUUACUCUUUAAAAACCUACUGGUAACUGCUGCUGACUGAAGUGUGUAUUCAGGGCACCUCAGAUCUCUGCUCCUGGGUUGCAGACUCAAGCAUGGCUCAAAUAAACCCUCUACUUAGCUUAAUUUUGCAUCAGCUUCUUCCAUUCAGGCUGACACAGGCAGCACCACCUCCAGGUCUCUUGCAACGAGCAACUGCAAACACCCCUGUUCUCUGAGAUGAGAGGCAUGGAGCUCCCUGCCUGACGCUGCCUCCACCCUCACCACAGUCUGAAGAAGGCUGGACCAAUGGCUGGUAGACAGGAAUUUUGCACCAACAAUGGAUCUUGGGGGCAACGUGAAAAGUAGAUUUCUGACAUCUGAAAGGGAAGAUUUUCCAGUUGUAAACCAAAGGUAACAUCCUAAGCUCUCAAUUGACUGAGAGAAACCUGAAAAACUGAAUUCCAGGAGGGAGGGAGGACACUCCCAUUAUACGCCCUCCCGGUGGAGGGCAGCCAUGGCUGACCAGCACUAACUCCAAAAUGAGUAAGAACAGACCCUCUGUGGGGACCAAACUCCAACCUGACUCUGGAGCAGAACCACAUGACAUAGCCGGUCCUGAAGGAAAUCAAAGUAUUUCACUCCAAAAUGUUUCCUUGACAUAUUUUGAUAUGGCCCUGCAGAGCCUUUUGUGGGGGAAAUUUGCAUCUGUAGCGAGUCUCCAUUCAUAAUACUGCCAGGCCUUUCCCAGAUCCAGGAGAGUUGAAUCGAGCCUGACACCUUUGAGGUUGGAAAGGAGACAUUUUCCAUCCUUCCCUCAGAAGGCACACCUGAAGCUUCAUCUACAUGCAAACCUCACAACCCCUAUCUUUUUUUUUUUGAGACGGAGUU
ensembl:lncRNA